GACGAACGCUGGCGGCGUGCUUAACACAUGCAAGUCGAACGGAAAGGCCCUGCUUUUGUGGGGUGCUCGAGUGGCGAACGGGUGAGUAACACGUGAGUAACCUGCCCUUGACUUUGGGAUAACUUCAGGAAACUGGGGCUAAUACCGGAUAGGAGCUCCUGCUGCAUGGUGGGGGUUAGAAAGUUUCGGCGGUUGGGGAUGGACUCGCGGCUUAUCAGCUUGUUGGGGGGGUAGUGGCUUACCAAGGCUUUGACGGGUAGCCGGCCUGAGAGGGUGACCGGCCACAUUGGGACUGAGAUACGGCCCAGACUCCUACGGGAGGCAGCAGUGGGGAAUAUUGCACAAUGGGCGGAAGCCUGAUGCAGCAACGCCGCGUGCGGGAUGACGGCCUUCGGGGUGUAAACCGCUUUCGCCUGUGACGAAGCGUGAGUGACGGUAAUGGGUAAAGAAGCACCGGCUAACUACGUG
rnacentral:rRNA from 1 species